AUUGAACGCUGGCGGAAUGCUUUACACAUGCAAGUCGAACGGCAGCACGGACUUCGGUCUGGUGGCGAGUGGCGAACGGGUGAGUAAUGUAUCGGAACGUGCCCAGUCGUGGGGGAUAACGUAGUGAAAAUUACGCUAAUACCGCAUACGAUCUAUGGAUGAAAGCGGGGGAUCGCAAGACCUCGCGCGAUUGGAGCGGCCGAUAUCAGAUUAGGUAGUUGGUGGGGGAAAGGCCCACCAAGCCAACGAUCUGAAGCUGGUCUGAGAGGACGACCAGACACACUGGAACUGAGACACGGUCCAGACUCCUACGGGAGGCAGCAGUGGGGAAUUUUGGACAAUGGGCGAAAGCCUGAUCCAGCCAUUCCGCGUGCAGGAUGAAGGCCCUCGGGUUGUAAACUGCUUUUGUACAGAACGAAAAGGUUUCUACUAAUACUAGGAGCUCAUGACGGUACUGUAAGAAUAAGCACCGGCUAACUACGUGCCAGCAGCCGCAGUAA
rnacentral:rRNA from 1 species